AUUCCCUCCCAGUGCCCCCAAGUCUCCUCCCAGUCCCUCCCAGUGCCCCCAAAUCUUCUCCCAGUCCAUCUCAGUCCUUUCCAGUGCCCCCAGCUCCCCCCCCAGUCCUUCCCAGUGCCCAUAAAUCCACUCCCAGUGUCCCCAGAUCUUCUUCCAGUCCCUCCCAGUGCCCCCAAGUCUCCUCCCAGUCUCUCCCAGUCCUUCCCAGUUCCCCCAAAUCCCCUCCCAGUCCUUCCCAGUGCCUUUAAAUCCCCUCCCAGUGUCCCUAACUCCCUUCCCAUUCCGUCCCAGUGCCCCCAAGUCUCCUCCCAGUCCCUCCCAGUCUCUCCCAGUGCCCCCAAAUCUUCUCCCAGUCCCUCCCAGUCCUUCCCAGUUCCCCUAAAUCCUCUCCCAGCUCUUCCCAGUGCCCCUAAAUCCCCUCCCAGUGUCCCUAACUCCCUUCCCAGUCCCUCCCAGUACCCCCAGAUCCUCUUCCAGUCCCUCCCAGUCCCUCCCAGUGCCCAUAAAUCUACUCCCAGUCCCUCCCAGUGCCCUCAGCUCCCCUCCCCGUACCCCCAAAUCCUCUCCCAGUCUCUCCCAGUGCCCUCAAAUCCUCUCCCAGUCCUUCCCAGUGCCCAUAAAUCCCCUCCCAGUCUCUCGCAGUGCCCCCACGUCUCCUCCCAGCCCUUCCCAGUCUCUCCCAGUUCCUCCCAGUGCCCCCAAAUCUUCUCUCAGUCCAUCUCAGUCCUUUGCAGUGCCCCCAGCUCCCCCCCAGUCCUUUCUAGUGCCCAUAAAUCCACUCCCAGUGCCCCUAAGUCCUCUCCAAGUCCCUACCAGUGCCCCCAAAUCUCCUCCCAGUCCUUCCCAGUGCCCAUAAAUCCACUCCCAGUGGCCCCAAAUCUCCUCCCAGUACCCCCAGAUCCUCUCCCACUCCCUCCCAGUGCCCCGAAAUCUCCUCCCCGUCCUCCCCAGUCCCUCCCAGUCCUUUCCAGUGCCGCCAAAUCCUCUCCCAGUCCCUCCCAGUGCCCAUAA
rnacentral:lncRNA from 1 species